rnacentral:ncRNA from 1 species
GACGACCGGCCGGACAUGGCAGUGCCCGGCCCACAAGUGGAGGCUCCGAUCUCCCACCUGACCGUCCUCCGGGACGGCGGGUCACCGGUCAGGCGGCCACCACCGUUCCGUACGGACGGUGGAGUCGCCCGAAUGCGCGCCCCGCGGUUCACCCGCGCGGUGCUCCGGACGCUUUGGAGCCCCGCCUGUGUACCGUUCGGGGCAUUUUUC